GCAAACUGCGCGUCGCCAUGUGAACUGCAGGACACAUGAUCAUUGACAUGUUGAACGCAUAUUGCGCCUUAUACAUUUUGUUCUCACUCACUCUCGACAGUUGUUUGUAGGACUGUAUAAGGUACACAUGGUUGAGUGUCGUAAUUUCAUUCAAUUUCAAUUAUCAACAUUGUGUCACACACACACAAUGUAUAUUUGAGUGUCAUUAGAGCACCAAAGGAAAGACAGCGAGAGAGAGAAAUUUUUCUUCUCUUCUGCCUCCGGCGGUAUCUAUGACUAAAAUUCUGAAUGAUGUCAGUUUACGCCCUCGUGUAUACGCACAAAAGUUUUUUUGUAUAGUGUAUUUAUUUCACUCUCCAUCUUACUUUGUGUGUGGCGCGCUAACUUUACAACAUACAAAAUAUGUAUAUAUUUGUUGAUGUAGCUUUAGCCGUUGCCUCACCGCUUGAAAGUGUAGAUAUCGAAGGAGAGUAGAGAGAAUAAUUUACACACAACAAAAAAGCUGUAUGACACCGAAUGAUGUAAACGUGAAGCAGCAUCUUAUCUUAUCACAAUAAUAAUAAUAAUAACAACGAUGUUACGCGACCUCAACUGAUGUACGAU
rnacentral:rRNA from 1 species